rfam:Ipomoea nil DNA, scaffold: scaffold2647, cultivar: Tokyo-kokei standard.
GACUUCAUGGCCCAAUAGAUAAGGCGCUGGUCUACGAAACCCGAGAUUCUGGGUUCAAUCCCCAGUGAAGUUG